rnacentral:tRNA from 1 species
UACUAGUUGGUAUAGUGGAUAGAACACAAGACUUGCAAUCUGGAAGACUUGAGUUCAAAUCCUUGUCUAGUAU